GACGAACGCUGGCGGCGCGCUUAACACAUGCAAGUCGAGCGAGAACCUGGCCUUCGGGCCUGGGGACAGCGGCGAACGGGUGAGUAACACGUGGGUAAUCCGCCCUUGACAUCGGGAUAGCCCGGGGAAACCCGGAUUAAUACCGAAUAGCCUCCGGAGCCUUCGGGCGCCGGAGAAGAGGUAGCUUCGGCCUCUGGUCAAGGAUGAGCCCGCGGCGGAUUAGCUUGUUGGCGGGGUAACGGCCCACCAAGGCGCCGAUCCGUAGCUGGUCUGGGAGGACGAUCAGCCAAAAUGGGAAUGAGACACGGCCCAGACUCCUACGGGAGGCAGCAGUGGGGAAUCUGGCGCAAAUGCGGGAAACCGUGACGCAGCGACGCCGCGUGGGGGAAGAAGGCCUUCGGGUUGUAAACCUCUUUCAGGAGGGACGAAGCUACUCGGGUUAAUAGCCCAGAGGGUGACGGUACCUCCAGAAGAAGCCCCGGCUAACUACGUGCCAGCCGCCGCUGUAACAC
rnacentral:rRNA from 1 species